GAUGAACGCUGGCGGCGUGCCUAAUACAUGCAAGUCGAGCGAACAGACGAGGAGCUUGCUCCUCUGACGUUAGCGGCGUACGGGUGAGUAACACGUGGAUAACCUACCUAUAAGACUGGGGUAACUUCGGGAAACCGGAGCUAAUACCGGAUAACAUGUUGAACCGCAUGGUUCAACAGUGCAAGCCGUUCUUGCUGUCCCUUAUAGAUGGUUCCGCGCCGCAUUAGCUAGUUGGUAAGGGAACGGCUUACCAAGGCAACGAUGCGUAGCCGACCUGAGAGGGUGAUCGGCCACACUGGAACUGAGACACGGUCCAGACUCCUACGGGAGGCAGCAGUAGGGAAUCUUCCGCAAUGGGCGAAAGCCUGACGGAGCAACGCCGCGUGAGUGAAGAAGGUCUUCGGAUCGUAAAACUCUGUUAUUAGGGAAGAACAAAUGUGUAAGUAACUAUGCACGUCUUGACGGUACCUAAUCAGAAAGCCACGGCUAACUACGUG
rnacentral:rRNA from 1 species